CAGUCGCCGCGGGAAUACAGAGGGUGCGAGCGUUAAUCGGAUUUACUGGGCGUAAAGCGUGCGUAGGCGGCUAAUUGAGUCGGAUGUGAAAUCCCCGAGCUUAACUUGGGAAUUGCAUUCGAUACUGGUUAGCUAGAGUGUGGGAGAGGAUGGUAGAAUUCCAGGUGUAGCGGUGAAAUGCGUAGAGAUCUGGAGGAAUACCGAUGGCGAAGGCAGCCAUCUGGCCUAACACUGACGCUGAGGUACGAAAGCAUGGGGAGCAAACAGGAUUAGAUACCCGCGUAGUCCCUGUCUCUUAUAA
rnacentral:rRNA from 1 species